rnacentral:rRNA from 1 species
AAAGUGUUGCGGUUAAAAAGCUCGUAGUCGGAUUCUGUCUCGGACGGUCGGUUCGCCGCUUGCCGGUGCUCAACUGGCCGGUCCGGACGUCCUGCCGGUGGGGUCGCGAGGCUCCGUUAUCCUUCUUUGGUCCUCUUCACCGAGUGCCUUGGUGGGCCGGCACGUUUACUUUGAACAAAUUAGAGUGCUCAAAGCAGGCCGUUGGUCGCCUGAAUACUGUGUGCAUGGAAUAAUGGAAUAGGACCUCGGUUCCAUUUUGUUGGUUUUCAGAACUCGAGGUAAUGAUUAAUAGGGACGGACGGGGGCAUUCGUAUUGCGACGUUAGAGGUGAAAUUCUUGGAUCGUCGCAAGACGAACCGAUGCGAAAGCAUUUGCCAAGAACGUUUUCGUUGAUCAAGAACGAAAGUUAGAGGUUCGAAGGCGAUCAGAUACCGCCCUAGUUCUAACCAUAAACGAUGCCAGCUAGCCAUCCGCCGAAGUUCCUUCUAUGACUCGGCGGGCAGCUUCCGGGAAACCAAAGCUCUUGGGUUCCGGGGGAAGUAUGGUUGCAAAGCUCAAACUUAAAGGAA